UGGGGAAUCUUGGACAAUGGGCGAAAGCCUGAUCCAGCCAUGCCGCGUGAGCGAAGAAGGCCUUAGGGUCGUAAAACUCUUUCAACUGUGAAGAUAAUGACGGUAGCAGUAGAAGAAACCCCGGCUAACUCCGUGCCAGCAGCCGCGGUAAUACGGAGGGGGUUAGCGUUGUUCGGAAUUACUGGGCGUAAAGCGCACGUAGGCUGACUAGUCAGUCAGGGGUGAAAUCCCGGGGCUCAACCCCGGAACUGCCCUUGAUACUGCUAGUCUCGAGUUCGAGAGAGGUGAGUGGAAUUCCGAGUGUAGAGGUGAAAUUCGUAGAUAUUCGGAGGAACACCAGUGGCGAAGGCGGCUCACUGGCUCGACACUGACGCUGAGGUGCGAAAGCGUGGGGAGCAAACAGG
rnacentral:rRNA from 1 species